rnacentral:rRNA from 1 species
GAUGAACGCUAGCGGCAGGCUUAAUACAUGCAAGUCGAGGGGCAGCACAGAUAGCAAUAUUGGGUGGCGACCGGCAAACGGGUGCGGAACACGUACACAACCUUCCUUUUAGUGUGGGAUAGCCCAGAGAAAUUUGGAUUAAUACCACAUAGUAUAUUGGAGUGGCAUCACUUUGAUAUUAAAGAUUUAUCGCUAAAAGAUGGGUGUGCGUAUGAUUGGGUAGUUGGUAGAGGUAACGGCUCACCAAGCCUUCGAUCAUUAACUGGUGUGAGAGCACGAGCGGUCACACGGUGAGUGAGACACGGGCCCGAUUCUUAUGGGAGGAAGCAGUAAGUAAUAUUGGUCAAUGGACGGAAAUCGUAACCAGCCAUGACGCGUGAAGGAUGUCGGCCCUCUGGGUUGUAAACUUCUUUUAUGUGGGACGAAAAAGGGCCAUUUUUGGUCAACUGACGGUACCAUAGGAAUAAGCACCGGCUAACUCCGUGCCAGCCGCCGCCGUAA